rnacentral:misc_RNA from 1 species
AAACUGCGAUAAGUAGUGUGAAUUGCAUUUAGUGAAUCAUCGAAUCUUUGAACGCACCUUGCACUCACUGGUAUUCCGGUGAGUACGCCUGUUUCAGUAUCAUUGAAAACACAUAAUCAAAACAUUUUCUUUGGUUUGAUUGGCUUUGGGUCUAUCAAAAAGUUUGGCUUGUUUCUUACAAGCCAAGCGGCCUGAAAUAUAUUGUCUGGCUAAUUGCAUCGUUGAUGAUCGCUAUUAGACUUUGGCUUUUUUAAAUGAACUGGAGGUUGAUUAACCAGUUUUAGCUUUAGUCAAAUGGUCAUUGUAAAAAAAAUCUUGAUCUUGGCUAGGUGUUUAUAGCCGAAAAUUUUUUUUUGGCUAUAACCGAAACCAAUAUAAUCACAUUUAGUUAUCGAUCUGAAAUCAGGUGGGACUACCCGCUGAACUUAAGC